CUAGAUCUAGCUGCUGUCGAAGUUCCGUCUACAAACGGAUAAGACUUCGGUAUUAGUGUAUACUGAGUUAUUGAACAUAAAGGAGCAAUAAUCAAUUUCUUGUUCUAGCAAGAAGUUUGGUAUUGCUCCUUUUUUAUUUAUUUAGGAGUUUUUUUUCUUUACUUCAUCUUUACUUCAACAUACCCAUCCUUUCGUUAUGUAGAAAUUUUUAUUUUACAUUUAAGGGUUUCAAUUCAAUUUUUUUCUUGUAGUUUCUCUUAGAAGAAUGAAAAAAAAAAAUGAUAAAUGGUGUAAAUUGACCUAUUUGUUUGUAAUAUGUAAUAGGGGCGGAUGUAGCCA
rnacentral:misc_RNA from 1 species